CAGGCUUCUUUUUUUGUAAAUGAUUUUAAUUCUGGUUCAAGGAGACGUGCGGUAGAAUUACACAUCGAUAAUUAAGAUGGUCUGUAGUUGAUGAAAACAAAUGGAAAAAUGAUAAUAAUAAUAAAAACGGAAUUCUCUAUCGAGCACUUACGAUGUUCCAGAGACCGUAUUAAGCAUGCUAGUUUAGUGGCUCAUUGAUCACAGUGGCGGGAAAACGUCAUAUCUGCAUCUUACAAGUGAGGAGACAAUACGUUUUCAUAGCCAGUGAAUGGUAGAGCUGGUAGGAAUUUGCAUCUGGCCAGCCUGAGGGAGUGUGAGCCAUCAUUCCAAACUGCCACUGAGUCUCAGCUCAGACGGGGAUCUAAACAGAAGCUUCUCGGAGCCCCACGUGUGCACACUAUACACUUAAGUCAGUGAACUGUGCAGCAGGCGUUACAGGCCCUGUGAAGAGGGUAAUGUACCCAUUGGAUAUUACUCCAAAAUCAAGUGUGCUUUACAUCCAUGAAUUAGAACCCCAUUUACAGUAAAUAUAAUGAACCCACUGAAUAUCCAUGACUAGCCAGCUUUCUGCAGAGGAAGAUUUAAUAAAAUGUCAUUUUUUAAAUAAAUAUACUUUUUUUCCUAGGAGCCCACAGCUAUUGUUAAAAUAUCUUUAAUCAACUGUCAAGCAGCGGGGUCCGUAAGUCUCCUAUUCAGUAAGAGGGUGGAACUUUCUAUAUACUCAGUGUAAGUAAACUAAACAGUUUUCAAGCUCUACAUGGAAAAUGGCUUUUCCCUGCUUACAUCAAACAAGUCGACAGUUUAUCAACACAUCGCUUCUGAUUAUUUCACGUCUGAGCUAGAGCCAAGGUUUAAAACCCCAGUCUGAGAAACGCGUACAUGCUCUCUUUCUGACGGCGGAAUGAAGGAAAGGUAUGCCAUUCUGACUUCAGCAUACGUCCCCAGGAACGUGUUUACACUGAGAAGCCUGUGGUAUGAUAAAGGUCACUCGGCAGUGUGGCUCUUUCCUCCGUUUGGCAGUGGGAGGCCACGAGAGCCGGAAUUCUCACGAGCAGCAGCGUCUCAGCAGCCCUCGGCAGAGGGACAGACUGGAAGCAGAUGUGGCACAGGUCUCCCCAUGCGGCUUCACUGUGGACUCUCAGGGCAUCUACCCCGGGACUUCCCGCACCAAGAAGACCUUGAGAGACCAGGGGUUUCACCGUGUUGGUCAGGCUGGCCUCGAAUGCCUCAAGUGUUCCUCUCACCUCAGCCUCCCAAAUUGCUAAGAUUGCAAGUGUGAGCUACAGCACUCAGCCCCAGGGAAUUCAUUCACUGCAUUUCCUUUCCCAUUGGUUGAGGAUUUUCCUGGACAUUUUACCCUUCUCCACCUCAAGGUUUCUGAUGGUUGGGUGUCCCCCCAACUUCAGGGAGAGCCCAGAGAACGCAGGGCAGAGAGAUGCCUGGCAGAAACCUGCAGGCGAGGGCUCACCACGCAAUGCAUCAUGGGUGGCUGUGCAAAAGAGAACAGUUACUGUCACUUUCUGCUCAGUGUGGAUAGUCCAUUUCUAACAAGCAGUGACAUGAAAUAGGCAGUGUGACUACAGAGUUGACAGCGUGUUAUAACAAUCUGGAAGCCCCACUUCCCUCUCUUAAGCAGCAAGCUGAUAUGCAGACUCAUCAAAGAGACUUUAAGGUGCCACCAGACAACGCCCUUUAAUUUUAAUUUUGUGCAAAAAAAUCUGGAUUUGUUUUAAAAAAUUAAGAAAAUCUUGUUGAAAUCAAGGAGCUUAAUAAAAGAAGCAGUUUGACUUUAAAAAUCUCAGACUCCAGCUAGCUUGGAAUAGCAUUAGAUCGUCUCUGAUAUCUCAGGAGAAGACCCUUAAAAAUAUACCUCAAAUACCUGAAUGUGUGAUACGUCGAGUAAAGUGAGUUACCGGCUAACAUUGGAAGAUCCCGGGGCUCAGUCCUCACUCCUCUUCUCUCUCUACAGCCACACGCUUGCUGCUGUCCCCUCCUCUGAUGGCUGUAAAUUCCAUCUGCCUGCUGCUGUCCAUGAACAGAAGCCUGCGGGGCUUCUCUUCUGACCUGGAAACCCCUAGAUCCACCUGCCAGCUUGGCAGCUCCUCUGGGUGUUUCAUGAUCAGUAUUCCCAACAGUAAAAUCCUGAACACUCCUCCCCAAAUCCGCUCCAUGCACCGCCUUCCCUUGUGGUGGCAACUGCAUCCACUGUGGGUCUUUGGGCCCCCCUUUUCUUUGACUCCCCAGCUCCAGUCCCCCAGCAAGGCCAGCUGGCUCUGUGCUCCGCACAGCCAGGAUCGGCCCAUGCCUCAGGGCCCUCACUGCCAGGCCCACACAUGAUGCUCAAAGAGACGCUCACAUACGUCCAAAUAUUUAAAAUUUAUAAAUCAAACCCACAAACUUUGUUAAGUAAAAAAUGUUUAAAUAAACAAUUUUAAAAGUACAUUUAAAAAGUUCUCCUUCCUUGGUAGAGAUGCCUUCCUAAUGAUGCAGAAGGAAAAGUUCUACAGAGCUUGGGACUCCAGAAUUUCCCUGAUAGGAGGUAUAUGGGACGGGAGGGUGAAGGGGCAGCCUGCCCAUGGCCUACCCCUGGCUUCCCCCCACCCCGGCUCUGUGUGCACCCCUGGGUACCCUGUCCACAUAUUCACUUCCACACACACAUUCCUCACACCAGUCUCAGGGAUAUGCACACUCACUUCUGUCUUCCCCAAAUUAUAGUGUUCAUAUAGCAGAUUUGUUUCUCUCAUCUUAUUUUACAUUUUCAAUUCACUAUGCUUCAUUUCUGUUUCUUUUUUUCUUUUUUUAACCUUCCUC
ensembl:lncRNA